CCUACGGGUGGCAGCAGUGAGGACUAUUGGUCAAUGGCCGGAAGGCUGAACCAGCCAUGCCGCGUGAAGGUCAGUGCCCUAUGGGCGUUAAACUUCUUUUGUGCGGGAGCAAUAAUGGUCACGUGUGGCCAGACGAGAGUACCGUACGAAUAAGAAUCGGCUAACUCCGUGCCAGCAGCCGCGGUAAUACGGGGGAUGCAAGCGUUAUCCCGAUUUAUGGGGUUUAAAGGGUGCGUAGGCUGUGAGGUAAGUCAGCGGUGAAAUGCCCCCGCUCAACGGGGUGAAGUGCCAUUGAUACUGCCUGGCUGGAAUGCGGAUGCCGUGGGAGGAAUGUGUGGUGUAGCGGUGAAAUGCAUAGAGAUCACACAGAACACCGAUUGCGAAGGCAUCUCACGAAUCCGCGAUUGACGCUGAUGCACGAAAGCGUGGGUAUCAAACAGGAUUAGAUACCCCAGUAGUC
rnacentral:rRNA from 1 species